ACCUUUGCGCCAGCAAAUGGUAAUCGUUUCCGCGGUGCGGGGCGAUUUGAAAAGGGAAGCCGGUGUAAUUCCGGGACAGUCUCCGCUGCUGUAACCCCCUCACCAACCGGCCGAUACUUGGCGCCACUGUCCUUUGCGGGAUGGGAAGGCCAUCGGCCGACGGGGGAAGUCAGAAGACCUGCCGCUUGCUUCAUACAGUCA
rnacentral:ncRNA from 22 species